rnacentral:lncRNA from 1 species
AGCUACUGAUGGGAGCCCUUCAGGGAACCUGCAGACUGAAGAAGCUGCACCUUAGUUUCUUACCAUUGGGAGCCUCCUCUCUGGCCUUGCUCAUUCAAGGACUAAGCCGAAUGACUCUACUACAGGACCUUUGCUUGAGUCACAACCAGAUCGGAGAUGUGGGUACCCAGUGCUUAGCUGCCAUCUUGCCAAAACUUCCAGAACUCAGGAAAUUUAACUUGAGUCACAACCAGAUCGGACAUGUGGGUACCCAGUGCUUAGCUGCCAUCUUGCCAAAACUUCCAGAACUCAGGAAAUUUGAGUGAGUCUCAGCCCUGCAGAGAAAAGCCUGCAGGGACUCUACACUGCUUCUGGGAGACAGGAGACAGGAGGCAGCCUGAUAGUUUUUCAUCUUUGCUUUUCUCCCCAAG